rfam:Parcubacteria bacterium GW2011_GWC2_42_12 TT95_C0020, whole genome shotgun sequence.
GGUGGCGUAGCUCAGCUGGUUAGAGCGUAGCACUCAUAACGCUAAGGUCGGUGGUUCAAGCCCACCCGCCACCA